AUACGAAGGGGGCUAGCGUUGUUCGGAAUCACUGGGCGUAAAGCGCGCGUAGGUGGAUCAAUUAGUUGAGGGUGAAAUCCCGGGGCUCAACCUCGGAACUGCCUUCAAUACUGUUGAUCUUGAGACCGAGAGAGGUGAGUGGAAUUCCUAGUGUAGAGGUGAAAUUCGUAGAUAUUAGGAAGAACACCAGUGGCGAAGGCGGCUCACUGGCUCGGUACUGACGCUGAGGUGCGAAAGCGUGGGGAGCAGACAGGAUUAGAUACCCUUGUAGUCC
rnacentral:rRNA from 1 species